rnacentral:lncRNA from 1 species
GACCAGAACGGUUUCAUCUCUGCUGCUGAGCUCCGCCAUGUCAUGACCAACCUCGGGGAGAAGCUGACCGAUGAGGAGGUCGAUGAGAUGAUCCGUGAGGCCGAUGUGGACGGCGAUGGGCAGAUCAACUACGAGGAGUUCGUCAAGGUCAUGAUGGCCAAGUGAAGGUCCCGUGAAAUAAGAUUGAAAUUAUCAGACGUACAAGCUGUACUUUGUUAUGUGCCUCUCAAGUACUCAUCU